GGCAUUGAAAGUUCGCUAGGCCGGACAGAUCGUCUUGUUUGAGUUACGGUCUCGUCACAAUAGGGCCGAGUCCACUAUUUUUUUAAAUUGGUAAACAAAGAGAGCAAGAAUGGGAAACGAGAAUUCUCACUACCCCCACGCCCCCCACCCCCUCGCAAAACAAAAAAAAAACAAAAAAGGUUCCGUUAUGAUAUUCUAUAUCUAAAUAUCUGCAUCCACGUGAUGUUGAUAUUAAAUCAAGUAAUUUGACCUUAACAGUUAAAAAUUAAAGUAAGAAAAUAUAUAAUUUAUUUAUAAUUAGGUUUAUGCACCAGACUAUUUUUUUAUUCAUAGCUAAGUGAUUAGUUUGCAUAUGAAAAAUAUGUGCCUUACUUCACCGAUUAGGUUAAUCCAUUCCGACUAAUCUAAUUAUCUAAAGACGAGGAGUGGUUGAAGAACAUCUUUCAGACUUGAUGUAUGUGUAAAUUUUUACUUUAUCAAAUUGACCGCCACGAUUUGGCUGAAUCGUCAUGAAUGCCUUCUAGUAGGGGUGUACAAAGGAAACUGACAAACCGCACCAACCCGAUAAUCUGAAUCAAACCGAGAAAAAAAAUACGAUCAUGGUUUGGUUUGAUUUGGUUUGGUAUUGGAAAAAAAAAAACCCAACCAUAAUUGGUUUGGUUUGGUUUGGUUUUAACUAAAGAAAGUCAAACCGAAACCAAACCN
rnacentral:lncRNA from 1 species